CAGUCUUUUCUCCCACGACUCCCAUUCUUAUAGAACGAGAGUUUCUACUCACGCGCCAUAAAUAUUUUUCCUUUCUCAAUGAAGACUCACUAACGUUUCUUGGCGCCUUCUUUCUCACCAGCAUCCUUACAGCAAAUCAGAACAGAUGUUUUCAUUCAGGUGCUCGUUUAUUUUGGCGCUGCUACUCCUAUGCCCCCUUCUAUCUCCCUCGGAAGGAUUCUGCUUCGACACCACGUGCGGGUCAUUCUCUAUGAUAAAAACAUUCUGCUGUGAUUGGAUGCGUGUUCAGGAUUGGUUGCCGAUGCAAGACUGUUGCAAGAAAAGCGAAAACAUGACGGAUGACAACUGCAUAAAGGUGCAGUAAGUAUAAAGUCGUCGUCGCGACAGAUAAAAAAUGAGACAUCAAAACGUUGACGAUUGAAGAUUUCCUAUUUUUGCUCAAAACUAAAAAUGUCUCAUUUCAAAGUCACAUCAUAAAAUGAACACAUAAUAAUUGAAAUAACAACUGUACUGUUUUGUACUUUUAAUAUGACAUAGCAAUAAACAACUAUUUUAGUUUUU